rnacentral:rRNA from 1 species
CUGAGGGUCAAAGGCGCAAGUCGCCUGUGGAGGAGCCUGCGUUCGAUUAGCUUGUUGGUGGGGUAAAGGCCUACCAAGGCGAUGAUCGAUAGCUGGUCUGAGAGGAUGAUCAGCCACACUGGGACUGAGACACGGCCCAGACUCCUACGGGAGGCAGCAGUGGGGAAUAUUGGACRAUGGGCGAAAGCCUGAUCCAGCAAYGCCGCGUGUGUGAAGAAGGUCUUCGGAUUGUAAAGCACUUUCGACGGGGACGAUGAUGACGGUACCCGUAGAAGAAGCCCCGGCUAACUUCGUGCCAGCAGCCGCGGUAAUACGAAGGGGGCUAGCGUUGCUCGGAAUGACUGGGCGUAAAGGGCGCGUAGSCGGUUUACACAGUCAGAUGUGAAAUUCCAGGGCUUAACCUUGGGGCUGCAUUUGAUACGUGUAGRCUAGAGUGUGAGAGAGGGUUGUGGAAUUCCCAGUGUAGAGGUGAAAUUCGUAGAUAUUGGGAAGAACACCGGUGGCGAAGGCGGCAMCCUGGCUCAUUACUGACGCUGAGGCGCGAAAGCGUGGGGAGCAAMCAGGAUUAGAUACCCUGRUAGUCCACGCUGUAAACGAUGUGUGCUGGAUGUUGGGUAACUUAGUUACUCGAGUGUCG